rnacentral:rRNA from 1 species
AUUGAACGCUGGCGGCAGGCCUAACACAUGCAAGUCGAACGAGUGGCGGACGGGUGAGUAAUGUCUUGGAAACUGCCCGAUGGAGGGGGAUAACGACGGGAAACGGUAGCUAAUACAGCAUACAAUCGUAUGUGCCCUGAUGGGAUUAGCUAGUAGGUGGGGUAACGGCUCACCUAGGCGACGAUCCCUAGCUGGUCUGAGAGGAUGACCAGCCACACUGGAACUGAGACACGGCCCAUACUCCUACGGGAGGCAGCAGUGGGGAAUAUUGCACAAUGGGCGCAAGCCUGAUGCAGCCAGGCCGCGUGUAUGAAGAAGGCCUUCGGGUUGUAAAGUACUGUCAGCGAGGAGGCGUUACUCGCAGAAGAAGCACCGGCUAACUCCGUGCCAGCAGCCGCGGUAAUUC